GGAGAGAUGGCUGAGUGGUCUAAGGCGCGCGACUGGAAAUCGCGUGUGCGUUAAUAGCGCACCUAGGGUUCAAAUCCCUAUCUCUCCGCCA
rnacentral:tRNA from 1 species